GCGCCAGUGGUUUAGUGGUAAAAUCUGAUCUUCCCAUGGUCAGGCCCCGGGUUCGAUUCCCGGCUGGCGCA
rnacentral:tRNA from 1 species